UUAUGUAUGUUUUAAUGUUUGAUCAUUAAGUGUAAAUAAUUUGGUCUCAAUGAAAUACAUAUUAUAAUAAACUCCAAAGAAACCCCUUAGUGGCGGUUGACUAAACAUUACUUCGUUAAUUUUUUUUUGUGGUCUUAAUAUGCUCUAAAAAUCUAUGUUAUUAUAUUAUAGAAAUGAUCGAAUAUUUCUUUUACCAAUGAGCUACAUGAUUAGAAGUACCCAUAGUCUUAGAUUAAUUACUUUAUAAAUGCGUGUAUAAAAAUGUUCAAUGAUCAAAAAAAAAAGAUAAUACGAUAAUUAUAUCAUUAUAUUGAAAUUUUAUCAAAUGCAACAAUGCUACAAAUAUCGAAAUUAGUGUUUAAUCACUGCACACUGCAAAAUACCAAUAUAAUAUUUUAGAUCAAUGUCCUACAUAAUAAUAUGUGAAUAUCGAAAAAAUUAAAAUAAUCAUUGAUUUGUUCGCUUGUGAGCGACCACUCUUAUUUUUUGUUUGUAUGUUGUAGAUUUUCAUAGUAUCUUUGUACAUCCAUAUUAAAUGCAUAAAAAAAGAAGUUUUGUGGUUUUAUGGCCGAGAUAAUCUAAAAACUAAUGACUCGAUUCCAAAAACCAAAUAUCAAUAAAACGGUAUUCAUAUUCAUAUCAGCAAGAAUUAUACAAAUAAAACCUAGCCAACUCCAUCCCCGGAAAUGUAAAUGGCAAUCAUAGGAAUACGCCUGUCCGAGCUUACUGUGAUUUUAAAAAAAAAAAAGAGUACGGUCAGAAUCAAAGAUAUAGUGUACAUAUGAGGUGUAACAGAAUCACCUGACAAAUUGCUGAAUAUUAGACAAUUGGUAACUGAAAGCUUCGUAGACGGCACGGACUAUUCUAUGUAAUAUGUGCAUCAUCAUGAAAUACCGAAAUGCAGAUAAUAUAAUGACAUGCACUCAUGCAAGGUUACAAACUAGAAAAAACUUGAAUACUUAUCACGUGUUAUUGACGCCAUUAUUCACUAUCAAAAAUUAGGGGGAGGCCAUCAGUGCCCCCUUCGCUGAGUACGGAACUGGGCUGAAGUAUUUGUGGACUUUGAAAACAGAAGCAAUAAAAACAAUUGCGAACUUCUCAUUUCGAAUAUGAUCGAUUCGACUAGACUAUCACUAGUGAAGUAGUAACACUUAAUACAGACGUGGAUUUGUAUCCCAUCAUACUCUCCACUGAACCGAUGAGAAUGAUGGAGAUGGUUUAGAGAAAAUCAGAGUACUUUAUUUUGUUUUCUCUAUCCCUAAAGCACGUAAGAUAUAUUGCAUUCAA